GAUGAAGAACGCAGCGAAAUGCGAUACGUAGUGUGAAUUGCAGAAUUCAGUGAAUCAUCGAAUCUUUGAACGCACAUUGCACCUCUCGGUAUUCCGGGGGGCAUGCCUGUCCGAGCGUCAUUGCUGCCCUCAAGCACGGCUUGUGUGUUGGGCCCCGUCCUCCGAUCCCGGGGGACGGGCCCGAAAGGCAGCGGCGGCACCGCGUCCGGUCCUCGAGCGUAUGGGGCUUUGUCACCCGCUCUGUAGGCCCGGCCGGCGCUUGCCGAUCAACCCAAAUUUUUAUCCAGGUUGACCUCGGAUCAGGUAGGGAUACCCGCUGAACUUAAGCAUAUCAAUAAGCGGAGGA
rnacentral:misc_RNA from 1 species